rnacentral:rRNA from 1 species
CAAAGAUUAAGCCAUGCACGUGUAAGUUUACGCCGUCGGCCGAAACUGCGAAUAGCUCAAUAAUCCAGCGAUAAUCCACCCGGCACAAAGGCUAGUAGACGCUCGGAUACCCGCGGGAAUUCUGUGGAUAAACCGUGUCUGCCUUCUCGCACACGUUGUCAGAGCACAGCCGGCAUGCCCCGCCUCGCGCGGGGCGCACGGUGAGCCAUGACAAAGUCGUCGAUCGGCGUCAUGCCGACGCGCCGGACGAGUUUCUGCCCUAUCAUCUUGUCGGUAGGAUAUGGGCCUACCGAGGAUACAACGGGUAACGGGAAAUCAGGGUUUGAUUCCGGAGAGGGAGCCUGAGAAACGGCUACCACAUCC